CUACACAUGCAAGUCGAACGCCCUCUUUUAGAGGGAGUGGCGCACGGGUGCGUAACGCGUGGGAACCUGCCCUUAGGUUCGGAAUAACUCAGAGAAAUUUGAGCUAAUACCGGAUAAUGUCUUCGGACCAAAGAUUUAUCGCCUUUGGAUGGGCCCGCGUAGGAUUAGAUAGUUGGUGGGGUAAUGGCCUACCAAGUCGACGAUCCUUAGCUGGUCUGAGAGGAUGAUCAGCCACACUGGGACUGAGACACGGCCCAGACUCCUACGGGAGGCAGCAGUGGGGAAUAUUGGACAAUGGGCGAAAGCCUGAUCCAGCAAUGCCGCGUGAGUGAUGAAGGCCUUAGGGUUGUAAAGCUCUUUUACCAGGGAUGAUAAUGACAGUACCUGGAGAAUAAGCUCCGGCUAACUCCGUGCCAGCAGCCGCGGUAAUACGGAGGGAGCUAGCGUUGUUCGGAAUUACUGGGCGUAAAGCGCACGUAGGCGGCUUUUCAAGUCAGGGGUGAAAUCCCGGGGCUCAACCCCGGAACUGCCCUUGAAACUGGAUGGCUAGAAUACUGGAGAGGUGAGUGGAAUUCCGAGUGUAGAGGUGAAAUUCGUAGAUAUUCGGAAGAACACCAGUGGCGAAGGCGACUCACUGGACAGUUAUUGACGCUGAGGUGCGAAAG
rnacentral:rRNA from 1 species